GGUGGCUCAGUGAUAGAGCACUUGCCUUGCAUGCAUGAGACCCUGGGUUCGAUUCCUCAGCACCA
rnacentral:tRNA from 1 species